rnacentral:rRNA from 1 species
CUUAUCAUUUAGAGGAAGGAGAAGUYGUAACAAGGUUUCCGUAGGUGAACCUGCGGAAGGAUCAUUGUCGAAACCUGCACGGCAGAACGACCCGAGAACACGUGCCGACACGCGGGGGAGGAGGGUCUCGGCCCCCCGCCCCCGCCAUCCCGGAAGGCGGAGGUCCCUGCGGCACGCGCUCCGGCGCUUCCGCAGGGCCGUCCCWUCCGGGCGUACCGAACACCGGCGCGAAUUGCGCCAAGGAACUCGAAUGAAAGAGCGUUCCCCCGCCGUCCCGGAGACGGUGAACGCGCGGGCGGUCCGUCGUCUUCAGUAUGUCUAAACGACUCUCGGCAACGGAUAUYUCGGYUCUUGCAUCGAUGAAGAACGUAGCGAAAUGCGAUACUUGGUGUGAAUUGCAGAAUCCCGUGAACCAUCGAGUCUUUGAACGCAAGUUGCGCCCGAAGCCAUUAGGCCGAGGGCACGUCUGCCUGGGCGUCACACGUCGUUGCCCCCCCGACCCCUUCAGGAGUCGGGCGGGACGGAUGGUGAUCUCCCGUGCGCCAGUCGCGCGGUUGGUCUAAAUAUCGAGUCCCCGGCGACCGGCGCCGCGACAAUCGGUGGUUGUGAGACCUCGGUGUCCUGUCGCGCGCGCGUCCGUCGCGGGCUCUCUCGAACACUCUGCGUCGGUCACCCGACGCUUUCAACGCGACCCCAGGUCAGGCGGGGUUACCCGCUGAAUUUAAGCAUAUCAAUAAGCGG